GCGGCGGGCCCGGCCCAGCGUAACUUGCGCCGUGUGGGACAGGGGGCGGCUGCGGGCCCUUUAACCGGUGUCAGCGAAGCGGGGGAUAGAGGAGCUGAGCCUGUGGCGACGGCGGCCUUGCCGAGGCAGUCACCCGAGGCGGGUGCGGGCAGCCUCCUCCGAGCCUGCCUUUCUCGCUAGUCCACCUCCUCCUCCGCGCCCCCAGCGCUGCACAGCCUCUCGGGGGGCGUCGGGAGGCUGUGGCCCCUUGCCAGGCUGUGGCUUUGCUGUCACAAGCGCAGAGCGGUCGUGGCUUGUUAGGCGUCCCGGCCGGCCGCCCGCCGCGGGGACGUGGUUGCCGCCUAUUUCCUCAAGGCGCGGCGCUGAGGUGACGAGCAGCGCUGAGGUGACGAGCGGCGGAGUGCUCUGUGCAGCUAUUUAUAGCCGUGGUCUCAGCGUUAACACCUCGUGACAGGGAUGCUUCAAAAGAAACUGCACGUUCAGGGUCUUUGCUGCUUUAUACAUCCGCCACUGCAUCCUUCUUCUGAAAGUUACCUGCCUACCCGGAGGAGGCUGGAAAAGAGAUUUUUUUAUGUAUAUAAAUGAAAGUGUAGAAUUGCAAAAUCAAAACAUGUCCAGCUGGCCAGGUAUGUCUUUCAGGUCAGCAGCUUCACUGCCCAUUACUUAGGUGAUUCAUGCCACUGCUCACUGAAGUUGGCUUGAUUACGUGUUAUUACUUACUUGACUCAUGCAGUUGCCCAGAGACCCCAGAUGAUACUGAGACAUCAUAUGUACUAAACCAGGAGGGAUAGUAUUUGCACCCCAAACUAGCAGUACAAAAAAAGGGAAAAGAGAAGUAGCAUAAUUGGGAAUGCAGCUUAGGUUUCACAAAUGUGAAUGAAGUCAUUUAGCACUAUCCAUGUUGCUUGGCUAUUCUACUGUCCUUUGUCUAUCAAUUACCUUUUCAUUUGCCAGUCUGCUGACAAGAGUCUUUAAAAGCUGGCUUUGCCCCACUUGGUGUUAGAGCCAUUUUAGGCUCUCACAUAGGUUUUCUGUAACUGUCACGCAAGAAAUCAGGCUAGUUAACAAAGCAUCCAAUGCAACUGGCAAAAAGACAUGCUAGCGUGCAAAGUAUUGUACAGACAAUGUUUACUGUAACAGUCCAUGUCUCUGAAAGAACCUUGACCAUCUUUUGUACCAGCCUUACGAAGAGAGAUCUGUUUACUCAUCUGUACUUCCUGUGGCAGACUGCCUAAGUCAGUGAGUUUCCUUAUUUGAAAGUAAUAUAUUUAAAUCCUUCUGAGCAUGGAGCAACAAAAAAUCUACCCGUGUAACAUGCAGGCUGGAUUUUUAAAGAAAGCAAUUCAUGGAAGAAGAUACAAACACAGAAUUACAUGGAUAGGGUGACUAUAUUAUACAUAUGUAAAAAGAAAGAAAGGUCAGAUUUCAUGCCUGCCCAUUUUGAUGAUGUUAUUUUUGUGUCAGAAAUUCUGAGUCAAUUUUGGAACACUUUCCAGGACUCGGGAUACAUGGAUGCAACACAGACUAAUGGAGCAACUUCCCACUCUUUAGUUCAACCAUGUUUCAGCUGCAGCAGUUUUCUGAAGAGACCUCUCAUUUGAAUGUAAUGUCAUAAUAAUAAUAAUUACCUAGCCAUAUUAGCAUAACAUCUGUUGCAAACACGCUUCAACUAAGAGAUCAUUUCCCUGCUUUACUGAGUUCCUUAUCUGGCAUCUUAGUUGCUUAAUUUGUGAAGGUUACCACAUCAGCAGUUGCUCUAACCAAAUAUUUUUAUGUUCCCAUGAUCUUAUCUUCACUGGUCAUAACAGCAAGUGGUUUUUUUUAGUUGAGGGGAUUCUUCUUUCCAACACCAGACAGCCCUGCUCACAGGGAGGUAAGAGUUAAGGGCUAAAUGUAUGUCCUUCAAUAUAAAUUUGAAGCUAGAUCCUAUUAUAAAAUUAAGCCUAAUCCAAAAGCAGGCUAGCUUCUUAGGUGACAGGAAAAAUCAUUACUUGAAAAGCGGUAACAAAUUGAUAAGUCAUACUCUUCUACUUCAGACCUGGAAUUUGUGCUUCUGAUUAAAAAGCCUUCAUUUGAAAACAGUGUUUUCCCUUUAGAUAACCUUUUCCAUUCCAAAAUAUCAUCUCCAGACAAUCAGAAGGCUACAGAAGUUGACAGCCUUCAGUAUUUUCCUUUUGUAUUCUCUACUCUUUUGCACUUACACAGAGGAGAUUACAAUCAAGCUUUAAAAAUGGCCUGGAUUUUCCACAGCUGUAUCAAGUGAGAUUUGUUUCCAUUCUGAUUGUGUGGAGUUACACAACGUAGUGGUAUAGAUAGGAUCUCUGUACAUCUGUGCAUGAUUUGUGGUCCUCCUUGAACCAUAACUCACUGGUAGUUAGUUAAACCAGGGCUUCCAGGCCGUAGAAAACCUGCCACUUUAUUUACAUUAGUUUUACCUUUUCGCCACAAAUGUCACUAUUAUUUUUCCCAUCAGGGACAGGGGAGGGUGUGAUAAGAGCAACUGCUUACUUUUUUGGAUUUUUUUUUUCCUCUCGUGGAGGGGAAAUAAUUUGAAAGUGUGUUACCUAGUGCCAACGGCUCUCCAGUUAGCAGCAAUAUGUCUAGCAGCAAUAUUGUGUGAGAGAGGUAAUCUGCUUAGAGCUAGGCAAGAAAUGAUGAAGAGUCUCCAGCAAGUUAGGAUAGACUGCCAGGGGUAAAUCACAGGUCUGGGAGAGUAUAGGGUGCUAGGCAUGGCUUUGGUGAAGUCUGAGAAAAUUUGUGGUUCAGCGGAUAGAGAGCUGUAGGUGUAGGGAUGUAGCAUCAGCCAACCAGCUUGCAUUGAUCCCUGAGUGCUCAGCAUAUUACUGACAUUUGUAAAGUAAAGAAAAAAUGGCCUUUGCUUAGUUGUUACAGCAGUUUUAAAAAAAAAAAAAAGUCUUUGGCCACAUAAGGCAAAAAAAGCUGACAUCAGUGGUGAGACAUUAUUAUGUCAUUUGCCUGUUUGUAUGCACGCAACACCUAGAAACAACUUUUGGAAUACGUAUUCCAUGCCCACCAUCAUCCCUGUUCGUAUUAUGGUAGUCAGGAUAUCCUAAAACUUUUUUUUUUAAUUGUUUAGACUCUAGCUGUUAUACCUUACCUCUAGUAAACCUGAGAGAUUCCUCAUCUCUGUAUCUUAGAUCUCUGAGAUCAGAAUGACAUUAUGACAGGGUGUAACAAUUUAGUUUAUCUUUUUUAUCCCAUUUAACAGGUGGAAAAAAAUGUGGAAAGUUAAUAGCAACGAUUCAAGGCUGAAAGGAAGUGUACCCUGAGCUACCAAAAUACCUAGGUACACCAGUAGUCCCACUGUAGUUGAUGGACUUGUUUGUAGGUUUAAGGUAUUUGGUUAAGUCAGCAUACAGAUCAAGUCUCAUGUGAGCAGUAUGUCUCCAUUCUUUGUCAAUCAUUAGCAGGUGGUUUCACAAACCUUUUUCUGUUAAUAGAUAUGAUAGGGUUUCAGGCCUCCUGUUAAGAGGUUCCUUAUCUUUGCCAAAGUCACAGCCUAAUUAAGUAGGAGGUUUUAUUCUGUUCCUGUUAGCAGUAGUGAUGAAACAGUAAAUGGAAAUGACUAUCAAAUAGAAUGGACGGUAGAAGAUGCAGAGGGGGCGAGAGGGAAGGAAAGGUGUUGCAUUUGAAAAUGUGCAGGAGAAAGAUUACAGGAAGGACAUCUCACAUAAUGAAAUGGGAAGUGAGACAAGGGGAAAAGUCAGCAGUAGGUUGCAGCCAAAUCUGGUGCCUGCCUUCCUCUCCUUGCCGUCAGUCUCAUCCUCUCACCAUCUUGCUCACAGUACCUUCAUCUCCAGACGCCUUUGUGGAACAGAGCAGUUUUCUGUAACGUUUUUCUCUUUACAGCUUUUGUUGCUCUUUUCCCUGGCCAACAUUUUGCUUCAGUUCUUAAAACUUACUGUCCUUUUAGCAAGACAAAAAAAAAACUUCUGUGGAAAGAUUUGUUUCAGAUAUGUCUGGUCAGUAUAAGUGCAACUUAGAUGGAAUAUUGUUUGUGUGUUCACCUUAUGUAGUUCAAGGAUACAGAGCAGAAGUUCGCCCUAUGCUAGUUUAAGGAUGAUCUCACUUUGCAACUGGCUGCUUCAAAGAUUAUGGCUUUAUGUAUUACCAGAUUAUGUUUUGUCAGUCUCAGACCACAGACAGAUCUUCCUCAAUAAUUGUCUAACAAAUCCAAAACUAAUUCUCAGAAGAACUCAAGGACAUCUGGAAUCACAAUUCUGUUACUACAGUGGAAGGUAAAGCCUGUUUUUCACAUCGUUGAUCUUCAAAAAUCACCUUUUGUAAUUUUGGAAGGUGAUUGGAUAAUACAGAUUGAUGCAACACCUCCCCAAACUGUUAAAUAUAAUUGUUAUAACACAAGAAUAUAAAUUUGUAACAGAAUUAUAAAUUUGAAUAUGAAGAGUAAUGCAUGCUGGAAUGGAAUAUGUAGGUAAGAACGAAGAUACUAUCCAGAAGUGGCACUUCAGAUAAACAUUGCAACCAGUGUCUGAUUUUAAAUAUAGUCAAAUGGUUCUCUGUGUUUGGUAGGAGAUUCUGUUGCUUCAGGAAUAAUUUGUAUUCUAUCAUUAUGUAAUGGACAGAGACUGAAACAAUUUUUCAUUAUUAUCAUGGAAAAUAGAACAUAAAUUACACAUUUUGAUUGCAAGAAAAAAGAAUGUUUCAACCAUGGUAGCAUAAUAAGCUUUAAUAUAGUCAGUUCUGUUAAUAAUAAUUUUGAACAUUUUUUAUACAUUUGUGAAUAACUACAGCUUGAACAAUCAAAAUGAAAAAUAAAUAAAGGGGUUUUUUUAAUCUUUGAUAUGUUUAUUUGUGUAUUUCAUUUACCAUGCAUAACAACACUAUGCUUCUGGAUAGAAAUAAUUUCCAGUAGAACAGUAGGGAUGUACUUCAUUGCCAGCUGUUUGAGGAACCAUCCAAAUUCAACAAAAGAAAACCAAAUACCCUCGUGCAUUUUAGUUAAAAAAAUUUUAAAGUAUUUCUAGUAGGUUUUAAUUGAAAUACCAGAAAAGUAUUGGGUUUUCUCUCUGCAAAAAGACCUGAUUCUGCCACAGUGACACAGGAGAGAUCUGCCAUUGGCUUCACAGUGAGCAAAACAGUCUUUGUAAUCUGAGGUUGGGACAUUUUUAGAACAUCCCUCUGAGAUCCAGCUUGUUUUCUAUUAAAACUAAUGAAAAGACCCCUGUGGCAUUUUGCAGGAAUUGGAUCAGGCUCUCAGUGGUACAAUCUGUUCUAUAUAUAACUUGCACGUUGCCAUUGAUGUUUGUGGGAGAUAGGCUCCCAACCCAAAGGAGCUGUAAGAGAUGAUGGAUUUUUAGAGAGGUAAGAAAGGCUGAAAUAAUUGCCAUGGCAAAGAUGAAUUAAGAGUUGUGUGAAACAACCUGCAACUUUGUAGUGUUUUGAAAGGUCAGAACCUGUAAUUGUCCGGCAGAGUGAUAUCAUCACACAUCUGUAGAUAUUUAUCAUUUUCUGUAACAGUUGCAUGAGAACCUACAUGCAUUAAGGUUCUCAUUUAAAACGUGUCCUACCAUGGAAAUGCUCCUUACUGCGUUUCUGUGUGGGACCUACCUCAUGUUGUUUGCUGCUGGGCUACUCUAGUUUUCUGCUAAGUUAAACUAUACUACAUAGAUGUAGAACAAGAUGUAAUGUAGAACUGAAUCAAGCUCUGCAUUAAACAGAUGUUGGAUGAUGUUGGUUAUAGUCCAGUCUGUAUUUUGAGUUUCUCCCACUACUUUUUUUGUGUAGCAGUCAAUAUUUUGAUUUGCAUAUUUUUUUCUGUUGCACCCUACAUCUUUCUGUCACUCAGAAUGGACCAUCCAAAUUAUUUAAAUCCUUUACCUUGUUUACAGUAAGGUUAUUACUCUAACUGCCUCCAUAUAAGCGCUCUAUCUUAUAUUUCAUGCAGCAGGAAUCUUUUUGUUGGUCUUAAAAAGAGUUGAACGGAACCCUGUUGGAAUUCUGCUGGAAGAAAUGGAUUUCUUUAUAUCACAGAUACAGUGUCUCAGGUGUUACACUUUUACAUGCUAUUAAGAUUCUUUGUUUUCUUAAGCUAACAGUUCUGUAAGGAUGGAUUAGGAACAAAUAUUUCUUGUGUUUUCAGUUUUCUGCAUUUGUCAUAGAUCUAACACCCUAGAAACAUCAGUGGAGGUCAGUAAUCUUUCAACAAUAAUUCAUCUGGAAGAAGCCAAUAUAAUAUGAUUGAGCCUUCUAAGAGUUGGUAUCAACACAAAUAUUUUCCUAGUAAUUAAAAUACCUUAUGUUUAAUUUUUGUAUUUAAUAAUUCCUGGUCACUUAAAAGUUGAAUUCAGCUUGCAUAUUAACAAAAUAAAUUCUGACCUUUAUUUUUAUUGAUUUGUUUUUCAGCUUGAACUCUACUUCUUCCAAGGUAUGGAAGAAAUACUCACCUACAAAUGAGUCAUAUUUUCUUAUAGCCUCAGUAUAUAAGCAUGUAUGAACACACUUACAGUGACGUCACUGGUCUCUGUGCCAUACUUAUUCUUCACCACAAUGCUGUAUUUCCCAGAGUCGAGUGUGGACACAGUAGAAAUGCUGAGAAAUUCAUGUUUGGAAGAUACCAAUACAUACAAGUGAUCCCCUCCUUCAGUCACAGUGCUAUGGGAAUCUUCUCAGAAGAGUUUGCAAAAGUGAGUAUCACGUAGAGAGUCAAAUGUGAAAAAUGUUCACAUGAAACUUCAGCGGUACAUAGACUUUUCUCUGGACCUUUUUUUAGGAAGGAAUGCAUUUGUAUCUAAGUAUUAAACAGCACAUUGGUCUGGAUUGCAAAUGUUAUUCAAAGCGGAAUCUAACUUUCUCAGUUGGAAAUUGAAGAAUUUUUACUGGAGAGAAAACGGUCUUCAGUGGUUCAUUAGGAAUGCACUAAAUGAUACAUAAGGAAUGGACAAGCUUCCACUUGACUGGAAUGAAGUUUCUCUUCCUUUUUUUUUUUUUAAAGGCUCUUGAUAAAAAUAUGUGAAAAAUAGAGACAACUGAAAAGCAUUCACGUCAUUGGCCCUAUCAGCUGUCAAGAUAAAAAUCUACUGUGAGAAAUCUACUUAACAGGCUACCUUCCCUUCGCCUCUCUGCUUCUUAUCUGGUAGUGAAAUGGUGGAAAGACGGGACAGAAGAGAGACACCCAAAAGGCUGUUGAAAUGAGCAGAUAGAAAAAAUUGAUACCUCUAUAAAAACAAAAUAUUUUUGUACCUCUGAGAACAAAAUAAACAUCAAAUAAAUCUCA